CGAAGGGAGCUAGCGUUGUUCGGAAUUACUGGGCGUAAAGAGCGCGUAGGCGGUUUGUAAAGUUGGGAGUGAAAGCCCAGGGCUUAACCCUGGAAAUGCUCUCAAAACUCACAAACUAGAGAUUGGUAGAGGAUGGUGGAAUUCCUAGUGUAGAGGUGAAAUUCGUAGAUAUUAGGAGGAACACCGGUGGCGAAGGCGGCCAUCUGGGCCAACACUGACGCUGAGGCGCGAAAGCGUGGGGAGCAAACAGGAUUAGAUACCCUGGUAGUCCACGCCGUAAACGAUGAGUGCUAGAUAUCGGGACUUUUGUUCGGUGUCAAAGCUAACGUAUUAAGCACUCCGCCUGGGGAGUACGGUCGCAAGAUUA
rnacentral:rRNA from 1 species